CGAUCCCCGGGGCCUUCCCCCGCGGGCACGCGUUCGGGAACUGGUCUCUCCCUGAGAGACCGGUCCUCGGGAGAUCGGUUCCUCUCGGAGAGACCGGUUCCCGAGAGUUGAACUUCCGGGACUUAGCCGAUUUUCGGCCAUUCUCGAGGGUGUCGUAGGCUGGGACCGGUCCCUCCUCUGCCAGGGACCGGCUGCAUCAGUAACCCCGCAGCCCACCGCCGAUGGAAGCGGUCUCUCACCUCCAGAGACCGGUCCCCGAGAG
rnacentral:lncRNA from 1 species